GGGGGCGAGGGGACGGUGCGGAUGUGCAGGCGCCGCGGGGAGGGAGGGCGCGGCACGGUCUCCAGCGGCCCCGCGCAUCCCCGGGCCGCCAGGCCUGCGCGCCGGGCCGGGAGGGACAGGCGCCCGCCCCCGGGGCGCCCUCCGGAACUGUUUUCCUCCGCGGCUCUCUGAAAGCCUUAUUGAUUGCUCAGAGCGCACUCCUCAGCCCACGGCUUCCUCACCCCAGCAGCUUGCAUUUCCUCUGACGUGGCCUCUGUCUUCUCCCCCCUGCAGCAGGCCUGGGGCUUUUACAUUUCAAAUGCUUGACAGCUGGGUGAACUUCUGCUUCCGCCCCGAAGAAGGACGCUUUGCGUUUCACAAUGCUGCCCAGUGGCGCCGGCGCUCUUUUCUCUCCAGCUGUGAGAGAGGCUUUUUCAAGUGACUCGGAGAAGCUGCUGUCCAGCUGCGCGCCUCGCCCCCCAGGGCUCUGCAUUUUAAUCAGGCCGCUCACUGGUGCGCUUGUGCGGCCGCCAGGUGCGCCCCUCCCCGCCUGCAGGGGACCUUCCGGCGGCAGGAUUGCCCCGUCUUCUUUGCUACACGCAGAGGAUGCUGAGUGCGGAAGCAAGAAUCAACCCAGAGGUUAUUACCAUAAUCUAGGAGAGCAGUGCCUGUAGCUUGGACCAGAGGAAGUAGUCAUGUUCUCCCACUUCAAUGGAUGUGGUAUGUGAGAAAUAUGGUAUGUGUGCCAGAAGACAGACACCACCCACCGGGAGCACUUACAGUGUCCAGAAGAUAUUCCUUUCAGGCAUUGGAGAAGGGACAGAAACCGAGCAAGUGGAUGUAUGAGUUAGAGUUCAGGUCUGAAGUCCAGACUGAGAGAGGAAUCUUGCAUGAUAUUCAAGGACUAAUACCAGGUGGCAUCUUCUAAUAAUUAAGGGUGGAUAGAGUAGAGGACAGGUGUGAGGACUGGCCUCUGGAAAUUCAGACAUUUAGAAAUCUAGGAGAUGAGAAAGAACCAGGAAAGGGGCCUGAGAAGUUAAAAAUAUGCAGAGUCUAUGCCUUAACAACCCCUCAAAGAUGCUCACACUUGUACACCAGGAAAUAUGUACAUAAAGGGACAAUGAAACCUUUCUUUUUUGGGUACAGAAUAAUGGAAACAACCCAACUGCCCAUCAACCCAAGAAAGGAAAAAUAAGUUGUGGCAAAAUUGUGAAGUAGUAUAGAAUAUAGCACUUGAAAUGCAUGAAAUUGAGUUGCAUGCAUUAAUAUGAAUAAAUCUCAAAAACAUAACAUUGAGCAAAACAGCAGUUUUCAUCAUCAUACAUAUAAUACAGUACCAUUUAUAUGAAGUUUUCAAACAUUCCAGACAAUACUGCAUAUUGUUUAUGGACACACAUCUGUGUGAUAACAGUGUGACAUGCAUGUGGGAAGCUGUGCAUUCUGCAAUGGGGACAAGAUGGGAUAAGUCCGCACUGAUGUGUAUGUAGUCAUCUGCUAUUAUGAUGAAUGCCUGACAUGUUUUAUAUAAAAAGGUGCCUGCCUAUCAUGCUGUUACAGAGCACAUAAAAUAUCAAUAAAAUCAGCUCAUUUAGG